CUCUAGACAAAAAUUAGAAGAAUUAAUGCACAUUUCGAAAAAAGAGAAUGGGCUCUGGAGCACACAGGCUUCAGUAGUUGCAGCACUCAAGCUCAGUAGUUGUGGUGCAUGGGCUGACCUGCCCUGCAGCAUGUGGAAUCUUCUCGGACCAAAGAUCGAACCCAUGACCCUGCCUUGACAGGUGGAUUCUCACUGGACCACCAGGGAAAUCCCUAAUGCACACUUUUGAAUGCAGUAUGUUGAUAAUACAUGCUUAGACUAAAGGCAAACAGAAUCUUAUAAAGAUUCCACAUAUAAGUGAAAUCAUACAGUUUGUAUUUGUAUUCCUCUUUCUGUGUCGGACUUACUUCACUUAGCAUAUUACCCUCUGCAGCACCAGGAAAGCCUGGCGUGUUGCAGUCCAUGGGGUCACAAAGAGUUGGACAUGACUGGGAAACUGAACAACGACAUUACCCUCUAGGUCCUUCCACGUUGUUGAAAAUGGGAAGAUUUUACAUCAGCAACACUUCUCGCCUGUUCACUCAAUGCCAGCCCCUGGAUGACAGCUGUUGUACUGUACUCCUGUACUUUUCAAGGAACAUUUGGCAAAGUCUGGAGACAUUUUUGGUUGUCACAGCUGGGAGGCACAUGGUGCUACUGGCGUAUACCACGGAGCCCAGGGGUGCCACUGUAUAUCCUACAGUGCACAAGACGGUGCACCGUCCUCACCACAAAGAAUGCUUCAAACCACGAUAUUCAGAUGGAAAGAUGACUGCAUCUAACCAGAAUGCUUCAUGGGCCUCAAGAAAUCUCCCUAUGUUCUCAAUCUGUAGUUGCCCCCGAUCCCUCCCAGCAUCAGGCUCUUUUCCAAUGAGUCAACUCUUCGCGUGAGGUGGCCAAAGUAUUGGAGUUUCAGUUUCAGCAUCCGUCCUUCCAAUGAACAUCCAGGACUGAUCUCCUUUAAGAUGGACUGGUUGGAUCUUCUUGCAGUCCAAGGGACUCUCAAGAGUCUUCUCCAAAACCACAGUUCAAAAGCAUCAAUUCUUCGGCGCUCAGCUUUCUUCACAGUCCAACUCUCACAUCCAUGCAUGACCACUGGAAAAACCAUAGCCUUGACUAGACGGACCUUUGUUGACAAGGUAAUGUCUCUGCAUUUUAAUAUGCUAUCUAGGUUGGUCAUAACUUUCCUUCCAAGGUGUAAGCGUCUUUUAAUUUCAUGGCUGCAAUCACCAUCUGCAGUGAUUUUGGAACCCAGAAAAAUAAAGUCUGACACUGUUUCCACUGUUUCCCCAUCUAUUUCCCAUGAACUGAUGGGACCAGAUGCCAUGAUCUUAUUUUUCUGAAUGUUGAG
ensembl:lncRNA